GAUGAACGCUGGCGGCGUGCCUAAUACAUGCAAGUCGAGCGAACAGACGAGGAGCUUGCUCCUCUGACGUUAGCGGCGGACGGGUGAGUAACACGUGGAUAACCUACCUAUAAGACUGGGAUAACUUCGGGAAACCGGAGCUAAUACCGGAUAAUAUAUUGAACCGCAUGGUUCAAUAGUGAAAGACGGUUUUGCUGUCACUUAUAGAUGGAUCCGCGCCGCAUUAGCUAGUUGGUAAGGUAACGGCUUACCAAGGCAACGAUGCGUAGCCGACCUGAGAGGGUGAUCGGCCACACUGGAACUGAGACACGGUCCAGACUCCUACGGGAGGCAGCAGUAGGGAAUCUUCCGCAAUGGGCGAAAGCCUGACGGAGCAACGACGCGUGAGUGAUGAAGGUCUUCGGAUCGUAAAACUCUGUUAUUAGGGAAGAACAAAUGUGUAAGUAACUAUGCACGUCUUGACGGUACCUAAUCAGAAAGCCACGGCUAACUAAGUG
rnacentral:rRNA from 1 species